UUAUUGCCAAAAACUCGACCAUUUCUAUGGGAUCUAUGAUCUAGAUUCUCGUGGUUUUGUAGAAACUUUAAAAUUAUGUAACGAAGAACCCGAUAACGCAAACACGACCCAAGGGACUUCUGUGUUGCUGAAAGUGUACAAUGAAAUAAAGGGAGAGCAAUGCACUUUUAAGAAUGAAAUGGAUAAAAAGUUAAUCGAAUGUGUAAACAAAGUACUUGGAUUUAAACCACAGCUAACAGCUGAAGAAGCGAAAAAUCGUUUUGGACGAAAUGGCACACGCGCCUUACGAUUCGAGGAUCAAGAAUGUAAAAAUUCAAAAAGGGUACGAGAAUGUGUGGAAGAAAUAUUUUUAGAAAAGCAUCUGGCACCUGAGCUCUUAGGAUGUAAGAAGAGCAUCAUCCGCGGAUUUGAUAUAACAGAAAAAAUAUGCCAACAAAAGGCUAAAGUAAGUAUUUAUUCAGGUUUAUCUUCCCUUAGUAAAAAAUAU